GAUGAAGAACGUAGCGAAAUGCGAUAAGUAGUGUGAAUUGCAGAAUUCAGUGAAUCAUCGAAUCUUUGAACGCACCUUGCGCUCCUUGGCAUUCCGAGGAGCAUGCCUGUUUGAGUGUCAUUAAAUUCUCAACCUCACUUCCCUUGUGGUGUGAAGGUUGGAUAUGGGAGCUGCUGGCCUUUGUUGGUCAGCUCUUCUGAAAUCCAUUAGCAGGGCCUUUGUAUGCAAAACUGCAGCUUGGUAAUGAUGGGAUGUCUUACCAGGUCACAGACAAGCAUGUGCUUUGCUCACAGCCAUCUCUUUGAGACAAACCCACUUGACAAUUUGACCUCAAAUCAGGUAGGACUACCCGCUGAACUUAAGCAUAUCAAUAAGCGGAGGA
rnacentral:misc_RNA from 1 species